UCCUUCUCAAUGAGCUCCGUCCUGCUGUGCCUUCAGUGGCAGGCCACGGAUUCGCACGAGAAGAAGAGUAAACCCUCAGCCCUGACACACACACACACCCUCGAGAGUCUCCACCUCCUUGGGAUGAAUUAACUGUCACGGCUGCGGGACAACU
rnacentral:snoRNA from 1 species